CGUAGGGGCGAGCGUUGUCCGGAAUUACUGGGGCGUAAAGGGCGUGUAGGCGGCCCCUUAAGUCCGGUGUGAAAGCCCACGGCUCAACCGUGGAAGGUCACUGGAAACUGGGGGGCUUGAGAGCAGGAGAGGAGAGCGGAAUUCCCGGUGUAGCGGUGAAAUGCGUAGAGAUCGGGAGGAACACCAGUGGCGAAGGCGGCUCUCUGGCCUGGCUCUGACGCUGAGGCGCGAAAGCGUGGGGAGCAAACAGGAUU
rnacentral:rRNA from 1 species